UUUUUUUUUUUUUUUUGUAUAAACAGGUAAAUAAAUUUUCAGUUCCGAAAUAAAUAUAUAAAAAAGCAUAAAUUUAGCAAAUUAUUUUCAAAUUGUUGUCUAGUGUUGUUUUACUAUUAUCAACUUAUCAUUAGCUUGCUAAGAACCGAAAAAUCGAACCAAACCAACAACAACCAAACCGAUGGUUUAUAUAUAAUUUGAUUUGGUUUUGGUUUUAAAAUUUUAAAAACCAAUUAAAUUGAUUUGAUUUUAGUUUUAAUCAAAAUCGGCCAAACUGAACCGUGAACACCCUGCGCAUAAGUCCGCCUCUGCUUGUGAGAGGUGCCUUUUAUAAACUUGUAAGUGUUAGAAGAAGAAAAAAAUGAAAUGGGACAAGUUUGAAUAGUGACUUGAAGAAAAGGUGUUAAGAAGUCAACGCAUAAUUAGGUAUUUCACCAGCAACUUCUCUCAAACUCAAUUUUCUCUUUUGGGUCAAAGAAUAAAGUUGUAUAAGGGUGUAAAAUAAAGAAGAUAUAGAUAGAUACAUACUUAAAUAAAUAAUUGCAUUUGGUCAUUCAGGUAAAAUUGAUCAACAACCGCUAGACUUGUACUAUUGCCAAACCACACAUAUCUUUUACAAAGGGGUUGGCACGACUUCUACAACAUUUUUCAGCCCCUUAUUGGGCAAAAUGAGGAUUCUACGCAAUAUGUACAUGAACGUGAUGCAUAAAUUUCAUUCCUUGAGAGUUUCUUUUUAGAAGAAGUUAACAUCGAUAGCGUAAAAAAAAGUCAACGUAGUUGUCCAUUAUCAGAAACCACCAUUAUGAUCAGCAGGCGUGAAAAUGUAGCUAGAACUAUCAAUCCAAUCAUUGUUGCAAUCAACUAACUGUUCUGAUGCAUCUGUUAAAAUUGCGUUCAGUUGAUAGGAUCGCAGCUGCUGAUAAAGAACAUUUGGAUAUUGAUCCACCACUGUUUCUCCUGUUCAUAUCAGAAUUCAUUACUAUAUUAUAGAAACCAACAAACUGUACUAAAAUAUAGAACAUUGACUGUUAUUAUUAAUUCCAAAAACUUGAGCUUUUCGAAAAGGAACUCUUUA
rnacentral:lncRNA from 1 species